CCUGCAGGGCGUCUCCCGAUAUUGGAAGACCCAACGCUACGACUUCUCCUCACCCAUGAAGAUGGCUGAGGCGUUUGCAGUGAUGAGACAGGAGUUAAACAGGAGAGCAGUAGAAGCCACCAGGAGGGAAUAUGACCAAUUUGUGCAGGAGCUGGACCGUGACCACCAGAGCAUGAGCAG